rnacentral:rRNA from 1 species
GACGAACCGUGCGAACGUUAUUCGGAAUCACUGGGCUUAAAGCGCGUGUAGGCGGCCCGGCGCGUCGGACGCUGAAAGCCCCCGGCUCAACCGGGGAACGGGCGCCGAGACGGCCGGGCUGGAGGCUGGCAGGGGGAGCCGGAACCGCCGGUGGAGCGGUGAAAUGCGUUGAGAUCGGCGGGAACGCCCGUGGCGAAAGCGGGCUCCUGGACCAGGCCUGACGCUGAGACGCGAAAGCCAGGGGAGCGAACGGGAUUAGAAACCCGCGUAGUCC